UACAGAGGCCUCGAGCGCUAGGCGGAAUCACUGGGCUUAAAGCGUGUGUAGGCGGACCCCUAAGUGUCUUGUGAAAUCCCCCGGCUCAACCGGGGAAUUGCUGGGCAUACUGGCGGUCUUGAGCAGUCUAGGGGCAGAUGGAACAAGUGGUGGAGCGGUGAAAUGCGUAGAUAUCACUUGGAACGCCAAAGGUGAAGACAGUCUGCUGGGGACUUGCUGACGCUGAGACACGAAAGCCAGGGGAGCGAACGGG
rnacentral:rRNA from 1 species